GAUUCAAUAGCACAAUGGUUAGUGCACCUGCUAGCAAUACAUCCUCCUUUCUGAGUACGCAGGGAACCCUCGUUCGAUUCAGGGUUGGGUCA